AAAGGAAACCAUUCAGAGCAAUAGAAGAAGAAGAAGAAAAAUGUCGACGGUGAAGAAGAUGGCGGUUGCUCUGUUGGUUCUGUGUGCGGUGUUUUCUUGUAUGGAGAAGGUGGUAGAUUCUGUUGGAGUUGACUGCUAUGAUGCUUGCAACACUGGCUGUGUUCAAAGCAACACGAGACUUUAUCAACGAUGUGAUCGCAAGUGCCGGAUUAGGUGCGGUCCAGAUUCUGAAGUUGAGGGGAACCUAGAGUAAAAGCCAAAGAAAAUUGGGGAGCACAUCAGAAAGAUCAUAGAAAACAAUAUGUAAUUUAUGCACCUUUUUCUCUUCCUUUAAAAUAAUAAUAAUAAUGGAAGUGACUUAUGCACUUAAAGAAAGUAUGUUAUUUAUUUUAAAUUAUGUCUUUUAUAGUAGUUAUGAACUUCAUCCA